CUAAGCGACACUCAAUUUAUGCCACGUUUCUGUGUAAUUUACGUGGCACUGCCCACUUCAAUAGUUGUCUUCAAUUAGCUUCAUUUUCCCCGUUACCUACACCAACACUAAUGAUAGAAAGAGAAACUCAAGCUUCCGAAGGAAACCAGCGGCUUCACCGGCGGUCUUAAUCGGUGUAACCAUUCGGCUGGAAAAAAAGAGUAGACAACCUGAGAAUAGGUUUUUAGCAAGGCCUGAACUUCGACAAUGGCGAUAGCGGGGACGGAGAACUGCUACCAACGGCAACGGCGUAAGUGAAAAAAAAAGCCAAGAAGAAAAUCCAGUGGUGUGUUGGCUUGGGGUACCAUCGACGCAACAAAAAAGAGGGGUAGGAGAGUUUCUAAUAUUUGUUUGGAUGCUUAUUUUAUGCUAAGGUAAGUGAAAAUACCUUAUAAUAUAAUUCCUUAAAAGUCCAACAUGCUGAUUAUAUGAUCUUGGUGUAUGCAUGUAUCUUAAAAACUAAGAUUUUAUUGUAUUGUGUUACUAAUAUGAAUUAGUUGCUGGUGAUAUGGUCGAUACAUGUAAUUACUCACAAACCGUAACAAUAGGAGUAAUUGAAAUUUUAGGGUUUUUUGAGACAUAUUUGGGGUUUUUUAACGUAUGGUGAAUUAUAAUAAUUUAGAAUGUUGAUUCCAUAUGUAAAUAAAUUCCUGAUAUGAAUUCUUGGUCUAGACUCUAUUAAGGAAAAAAUAAAAUUGGUUAAGUCCUUGACCUUUCUCAUUGGAUUACUUUGAUAAUCUAGGAGAAUUUUCUGAAUAAGGUUUGUUUGAAUUGUGUUGAUUUAUAAAAUUAUGCACCAGUUAGGGUUAAAUGACUCAAUUUGUUAAUACUUGUUGAGAAUUUAAAGUGGUUAUCAUGUGUAUGGAUGAUACAGAUUACCACUUUUUUAUUCGUUUAGAACAUCGACUUCGAUCGAAGAAGUACUAAAAUUAUGCUAAUUUUAAGUAUUCUGAUCUAUGUAUUCAGGCAUAAUCAUAAUCGAUUGGUUUAUGGAAUAAGUACCAAAGAGAUAGAAGCAGUCUAUCUUCUAAUUUGUAUAACCAGUGACGAUGCCCGAUUAAGUGUAUUUUGUGUUUUUUGUUUGAUAUUGUUUACGUAGAAGUUAAUAUAAUGUUGAGUUUUUUAUUGGGACAUGGUUUAGGGAUACGGAUAUCUAACGAACCUUUGUUAAUUAUGAUGGUUCGAUUGAGAACUAUAUGGGACAGAGGAGAUGAUGUUAAUCCGAACAUUACAGCGAUUAAUGCAGCCUAUUAUUGUACAAAUUUUCAGGCCUUUGAUUUGGCAACUUGUGAAAGAUGAACUUUAGCCGCAAUCUUCGCAGCCGACUUAGCUUUUACAGCUGGCUUCGCACCUUCACAAUUGGCUUUCACGGCUUGUUUCACUUUCGCAAAUGGUUUGGCUUUAGCAUUGGCACGUUUAAUUCAGAUGUCGGGACUUAAUUGCCAUCAUAAGGUGUGUCUGAAUCAGAAGUCGUGUCUGAAAAAUGAUUAGAACAGUUUGCAUAGUCAACCUUAUUUUCAGGUAAAGCAACUGUGUCUAUACAAGGUUAGGGUUUAUCCAAAUGAGCUUCUUUUACAAUUAAUCAAUUUGAUUUGUGGUGUUUUCUCCUAAAUUUAAACUAUGUGAUUGAUUUCUAAUCGCAUACUUUCCAGUAUGAAACUCUAUAUUGCAAUUUCUUUAUUGUGUGCCAAUUUAUGAUAUGAUUUAAUGUGUCUAUUGAUGUGGUGCCCUAAUGUUUAGUGCAUGCAUAACAUAAAUUUGGGGAGAAGAGCUCGAUUGUUGUUAUAAUCAAGCUUUACAAGUCAUUAAUUUUGCACGCAAUUGAGCAAAGGUGGGUAUAUAUAUAAUAUUCACUUCUUUCAUAUGAAAUGGACUUUCUUCUAGUUAUCACAAAUAGGCGAAGCACCAUGCCCCAUGGAUAUGAAUUGUGGUUCUAGGUAGAAGCAAGUUUGUUGAUCGUCAAGUGCAUAAGUGCAUAGCCAUCUUUAAGAGGUUUGACCAGGUGGUGCUGGUAGUGGUUAACUCAUUGAAUGGGCUCGAUAUAUUAAUUGGCGUCUCACCUUAACAUUAAUAAGGUUUAAUAAACAUGUAUUGGGUUUAUCAUGGUUAAUGCUUUUAUAAUUUUAAACGACAUUCAGAUUGUUCUGUAUCUUAACAUGUUGCAUUAUUAUGACUGUUGCACAUGGUUUCAUGCAACCUACAAUCAUUAUGGUAGUGUUAUAAAUCGGAAAUGAAGAUAUGGGGACAACCAUUUCAAUAGGAUAAAAACAUUCAUGGGUAUGGGUAUUAACAAACUAUGCAAGUAAAGUUGUGAAAAUAUGUAUACUAGCUUUUACAUAAACUGAUUAUAGAUUUUGUCAUUACCUUUCAUAGGAUCAAUGUUAUUAAAUAGCGUUUAUACUUUGUAUACGUUUUGGCUUAAUUUGUAAGCCCCUAGCCGAACGCGGUAAGGCUUACAUCUAGUAUAUAACAAGUUUUUGGUUGAUUUUAUGAACAGUGAUUUUCUUUAUUUAUUUUAUAUUUUAUAUUUUUGUUUUUUUAGUGUUUUAAAGGUUGUUUACGUUUUCAGCCCCUCAAGUUUGUAUGGUUUAAGCCAAUGAGGUGGUGGUGGAGUGGUAAGGAAGAGACUUGGUCUUCUAAGGGACCCAAGUUCGAUUCCUGACCUCCCCAUUAUUUUCUGCGGCACCUGAUGAUGAUGCGAGACUAGGCGAAUAGGUGGAGAUCGCUAGUUCGAUCCUUGAACUGAGCGGGUUUUACCUCAACGCACUGUCGUGCCUUCGGGCGAGUGUUCACGGGCUUCGACCCUAGGUGAGGGUUUUCCCCAGUUUGGAGGCGAGUGUAUCCUGAUUUGGUGAAUUUCGCCAGUAGCCCAUUUAGAGGAUUCGUUGGCCGUUCAAAAAAAAGUUUGUAUGGUUCACUUAGCCCUUAAAG